AUACAUGUAUUAAUUGAUAAUAGUUGUCCACUAUUGCUACAUGUAUAAAUUGAUGAUUUUACUUGACUAAUAGCACUACAUGUAUUAUUGAUGAUGUUAUUUGGCUAAUAGGGAUACAUGUAUUAAUUGAUGAUGAUAACUUUCUAAAUUUAAAUUAAUUGCACAUCUCUGUCUUUUUUUCGUAUGUAACUGAAUAAUGAAUAUUUCAAUUCACUGAUUUUGUAUCUUUUUUUCUGAAAUUAAAAUUCUCUUUCUGAUGUAUUCAUUGUAGGUUGAAAUUUGGUUGUAUUGCAUAUUUUAUUUCAUAGCUUUGUAAACAAUGGCUUUUCAUAUUUCAUGAAAAUAACUGCAUUAAUUUGGUCUUUGCUUUUUGCUCCAUUUGAAGCAAAGGCUCAUUACAAGUAUUUCUUAUUAAUGAGUGUUACAUGUAGGCUUUUCAGGAUUUAUUUUUUCAUAUCAGGUGGUUAUAUGUACAUUUUGAAGUUUAUAACUGUAACAAAUAAUCCAUGAAUAUUAAACAGGUUAUUUAUUAAGUUAAAGAUUGUUAUUUGCUGUGUUCUUCUCAGAUAUCAUCUUAACAAUAUACUUAUGUUGUAAACUCUGCUCAAAAAUACAAAUGUAUAUGAUAAAAAAAAUGUUUGAUAUGUACAUUCAUUUAAAUUUGAAUACAUGUAACAUGAAAUCCAUUGUUAUUGUAUUUUAACAGUUUUAUGUCAAAGCGGAUGCUUAUAUAAAUUGAGGUGCUGUGGGACAUAAUUCGAUUUUAAUAUGGAUUAAUGUACAUUGUGAUUGAAAUACUUUCACCGGUUUAAAUUUUUCAAAUUUUACAAUAUUUAACCAAAAAAGAGCUUUUAAAAAUAUUUGGAGAGGUAAAAAUUGUAAAAACCCAGAGGGAAGUCAAACUCAUGACUUACAGAUUCGUAGUACACCCUCUAACCCACUGCGCGAUGCUGUUAGGUGACAAACUUAAUGGUCCAAGUUUCCUUUCAAUUGCAGCCCCCCCCCCCCCCCCCCCCCCCCCGCCUGAGGGCAAUUCAUAGUAAUUCUGUGUGUUUAAUUUGUAAGACUACUUAAUUCUCCAUUACUUCUUGUUUUAUUUGGCAAGGAAAAUCUAAAUAAUUAUGUAAUAGCAUUUUUCUUACCCUAGAUAAAAGUGCACCAUGUCCACCCCAACCCCCUCCCAAAUCCACCCACCCCCCAAAAUUUCCACUGAAUUUCAUUUGCAACCAAAUUCCCUCAACCAGAUUAAAGACAAAUAAAGACCAUAUAAGCUGACAAAAUAUUAUAUUAAUUGAUGCGUUUCUUGGGCAGUUAUGCCAGUUUUAGUGCAAAUAGGUCAAUUUUGGUAAAAUUUCAGUAUUUUCAUGAAGUUAAGGCCCACAUAUCUUUGUGUAUUGUGUUUAGAAAUUUAAAUUCCUUAUUAUUCAGAAUACCUAUGGGUUUUCACAAUGUGAAGAAACGGGUUUCAUUCAAUUGCAGUGUGUAAUAUUUCCAGUAAACUUAAAAGAAUUGUAUGCUGUCUAAUUUUUCAAAAGUUCUAUAAAUAGAACAAGGGGAAAACCCAAGUGCCAUCCGUUUCCAUAGUUACUGAUGUAAUGUAAUAAAAAUCAUUCUCAUUAUAAUCAAGUUAGGUUAUCAUGAAUAUCUGUGCCAAGUCUCAUGAAAUUUCGAUAUACUUCCAUUGAUAGCCAUUUGCAUGGUUCUAUGGUAGACUGCCUCUUAAGAAUAUUUUAAUUUUUAAGCAAAAUUCAUUUGAUACUAAGACUCAUGUAAUGACUGCAAUAAAGAAAGCAUUCCAUAAAAGAUGUGAUGACAAUAAAUUUCGUACAGAUAACUCUUGCAAAUUUUUGAAUUUACGUUGAUUCCUGCUUACAAUUUAGACAACCUUAAAGCUCUGAUAUUUUUUAUCAUCUAGGUGACUUUGUACUUGUUGAGCCUAUUGAGGAGGGUGAAAAGGUGAAGGCAGAAAUAAUAAGCAUACUGUAUAAAGAUCAAAUCAAGUAUAUCCAGGAGGAAGGCAAAUGGCCACCAGAGUUUGCUGUGAAGGAAAGCAACCCAGAUGAGGGAAUUCCAGCAGACAUGUUACCCCCUAGUGAUGAUGAAGAUGAGGAGGGGGAGUUAACUGUUGUUAAUGCUAACCGGAGACAAAUUGCAAUGUAUGAGGAGAGUGAAGAGGAAAGUGAAGAGGAUGAAGAAGAACGCUAAAGAUAUAAACAGAUUGUGAUUGAUUAAAGAAGUCUAUUGAUUCAAAAUUUAUUGUUAAAGAGCACAGAUAUGAUGAUUACAUUUUUGGGGGAUAUCAUUUUCUAUUAAAUAUAAACAGCAUUUCAGUAUAAUGGUUGCAUACACAUUUAAACCUAUAAAUCAUGGGGAUCCCUCUUGAGGCCAAUUUAGCAUCUUCAGAAUUCCGUACCGGCCGCGACACCUAGGCCCAGGGCCAUAGCGUCCGUACUUCUCCAACUGACACUCCUUCCUAGACGACCUCCAGCCGAUCUGCUGGGUGGAGGUCAUUGGGAAGCCAGUCCUAGGGCGAGGCGGGUGGAUGGGGGGAAGUUUGAGACCCCUGGUCACUGAACCGCUCUGUGUGGGGGGCUGGUACUGGUGAUGCUUCAGCUGCCAGCUCAACUGAAACAGUUACCAAAUUAUUUGUUUAUACUUCUUUGCAAUGGAAUAAAGUUUUGAUUAAAACC
rnacentral:misc_RNA from 1 species